CUGUCAGGGUUCUAUUGUUAUAGUGUUAGGGCAGUCAGGGUUCUAUUGUUAUAGUGUUAGGGCAGUCAGGGUUCUAUUGUUAUAGUGUGAGGGCAGUCAGGGUUCUAUUGUUAUAGUGUGAGGGCAGUCAGGGUUAUAUUGUUAUAGUGUGAGGGCAGUCAGGGUUCUAUUGUUAUAGUGUUAGGGCAGUCAGGGUUAUAUUGUUAUAGUGUUAGGGCAGUCAGGGUUAUAUUGUUAUAGUGUUAGGGCAGUCAGGGUUAUAUUGUUAUAGUGUUAGGGCAGUCAGGGUUAUAUUGUUAUAGUGUUAGGGCAGUCAGGGUUAUAUUGUUAG